rnacentral:rRNA from 1 species
CUACGGGAGGCAGCAGUGGGGAAUAUUGGACAAUGGGCGAAAGCCUGAUCCAGCCAUGCCGCGUGAACGAUGAAGGCCUUAGGGUUGUAAA